UACAGAGGGUGCAAGCGUUGUUCGGAAUUAUUGGGCGUAAAGGGCGCGUAGGCGGUGCGGUAAGUCUGUAGUGAAAUCUCCUGGGCUCAACUCAGAGUCUGCUGCAGAAACUGCCGUGCUUGAGUGUGGGAGAGGUGAGUGGAAUUCCCGGUGUAGCGGUGAAAUUCGUAGAUAUUGGGAAGAACACCGGUGGCGAAGGCGGCUAUCUGGCUCGUAUCUGACGCUCAGGCGCGACAGCGUGGGGAUCGAAACAGG
rnacentral:rRNA from 1 species